rnacentral:rRNA from 1 species
UACAGAGGGGGAAAGCGUUGUUCGGAAUUACUGGGCGUAAAGGGCGCGUAGGCGGCCUUGUAAGUCCUGUGUGAAAUCCCUCGGCUUAACCGGGGAACUGCGUCUGAUACUGGAUGGCUUGAGAUUGGGAGAGGGAUGCGGAAUUCCAGGUGUAGCGGUGAAAUGCGUAGAUAUCUGGAGGAACACCGGUGGCGAAGGCGGCAUCCUGGACCAACACUGACGCUGAGGAGCGAAAGCCAGGGGAGCAAACGGG